rnacentral:rRNA from 1 species
CCAAUAGCGUAUAUUAAAGUUGUUGCAGUUAAAAAGCUCGUAGUUGAACUUCGGGGUUUACUUAUUGGUUAGGUCUAAUUGUCUGUACUGGUGAUCUGAAUCUCUACCUUCUGAGGAACUUUCAUGUCAUUUAUUUGGUGUGAUGGGAAACCAGGACUGUUACUUUGAAAAAAUUAGAGUGUUUAAAGCAGGCUAAUGUCUGAAUAUAUUAGCAUGGAAUAAUGAAAUAGGACGGACUGAUUCUAUUUCGUUGGUUUCUAGGAUCACCGUAAUGAUUAAUAGGGAUAGUUGGGGGCAUUAGUAUUCAAUUGUCAGAGGUGAAAUUCUUGGAUUUAUUGAAGACUAACUACUGCGAAAGCAUUUGCCAAGGAUGUUUUCAUUAAUCAAGAACGAAAGUUAGGGGAUCGAAGACGAUCAGAUACCGUCGUAGUCUUAACCAUAAACUAUGCCGACUAGGGAUCGGACGAAGUUAAUUUUAUAAUGACGCGUUCGGCACCUUACG